GAAGGUAACAGAACGUUCUGUUUUAUAUACACGUACCGUGUACUAUUAGUGUAAACGACAAAAAAAAAACAGAAGUGAGUAUGUAGACAUGAGUAACACUAUUUGAUUUAAAGAUUAACAUAUACUUAA
rnacentral:rRNA from 1 species